UGUGUCAAACUCUGCCACUCCAGAAUAUAAGGCUUGAUCAGUCACACCAAAUUCUGCCCCAUCUCAAAACGAAAUCAAACUUAAUCAAAGCCAGAGACUCACCUGUCUUCCCGACUCAUUGAAGUCAUUGUCAUUGUGAUUGUCUUCCGACACAUGAGGAGCCAUAUCUAUAUAGAUCUAGAAUCUAAUUAUAACAAAAUGCACGUGAUUUGUUGGAGACACGGGGAAAAAUGUUUGACCUAGAUCUAGAUCUAUGUCUGGUCUAGAUCUACUUUUAGUGAAAGAUCUAGAUCUAGAUCUAAAUCUAGAUACUUUUAGAUACUUAAUAUAGAGCAGCUCAUUUUUCUGAUUCAAUGAAUUACUUUUGUGUGUGUAAGCCUAUAAAUUAGCGUGCUUCGUAUUUUGGAUACUUCAAAAAUAUUGGAUUUUUGUUGAUAUAACCAUUGAGUUACCAUUGAACAACCAUUGUUAUACUUAUAGGCCUACACGGAUUAUUGGAACAGUUUGGAUUAUUUAAUACGCAAAGGCCUACACGGAUUAUUGGAACAGUUUGGAUUAUUUAAUACGCAAAGGGGUGCCAUAGCGUUGUUUUAUGUUGUGUGAAGCCAUGAUGACAGUGUCGAUAUUGGGAGGCCAUGGUUUGGGGCUUUGAGUCAGUGACCCCAACAAUCUGUGUUGCCCUCAAUUGUCCCUCGCCGAGUUGAGAGUCAAUGACUUUUAAUGCUUCACAGACUGACAUGGUCUCCACAUUGAAACUGCAAACACUACCACAUGGACCAAAGAUUUUGACUGAGUGAGAGCCAAGAAAGUCGAUGUAGGCUCCAUAGCCUGCUCUUCCAGAAUCUAUCGAUGCUGACCCAUCAGUGAAUGCAAAAAUAGCACUGAGCUUGAAGGAUGUUGGCAAGUUCACCUUCAUCUAUUUCAGUCAUGAUUGCCUUUAUAUGUGGACAAAUAAGCCUAUACAGUAUUUCCAAGAAUGAGAACUUUGCAGGGUAGAGUCAUUUGACUUACAAGCCUCUUAGAGACCACUGGGACAUUGUUCUGGGCUGCCUUUGGUUAGGGAACUCUCAGGCACCAGCUAUUAAAGAAGAAACAAAUAGCAUUCAGGAUAAUGGUGACUCAGAGAUAACAGACAGUGUGCUGCUGAAAGUCAUUGAGGUGGUUGGCUACGUUUUGUAUGGAGUUUACAUUCUUGAUGCUGUCGUGGUCCUGAUCAACUUGUUCAUUGCUAUGAUGAAUUUGAAGACAUUUAGAAUGCCCAAAAGAUUAGUCAGCUAAGGAGCCUAAAAUGUUAGCCUGUUUACAAAUAUGAGAUCUUCCUUGACUACACAAGUACCUUACAGGAGAAGGCUACUCACUUGUGUUUGGAUAUGUCAGCUGUUUUGUCCCUGUGGCCCUUUUCAAGCAUGACAGAUACUAUUCUAAGCAGCUUUUUUCUCUGGAAAUUAUUCAACCACAGAAGCUGUGAGGGAUAUCUGAAAUCCAUUGCUUACUUGUCUAGAAAGACUUCCAUCCAUUGAGUGAUAAAAGAUUAAAUGUACACAACUUUUAGUAGUCAUCACAUAACACUUAACAUUUUGAUGCUCAAGACAAUACUGUUCAUGAAUGGUUUAUUUUUCUUUAUGCUGAGAGUGUCCAAGAAGGAUAAGGUCAAAGGUUAAUUGGACAAACAAGUUAAUAAACUUUGUCUUUGAAUCUGAAAUUGUAGAACUUGUAGAGAAAAAAAAACAACUAAGUGUUUUUUAUUUUAAUUUACCAGGCACCAAGUACCUACUAUUCAUUUACUUUGACUGUU